GAUGAACGCUGGCGGCGUGCCUAAUACAUGCAAGUCGAGCGAACGGACGAGAAGCUUGCUUCUCUGAUGUUAGCGGCGGACGGGUGAGUAACACGUGGAUAACCUACCUAUAAGACUGGGAUAACUUCGGGAAACCGGAGCUAAUACCGGAUAAUAUUUUGAACCGCAUGGUUCAAAAGUGAAAGACGGUCUUGCUGUCACUUAUAGAUGGAUCCGCGCUGCAUUAGCUAGUUGGUAAGGUAACGGCUUACCAAGGCAACGAUGCAUAGCCGACCUGAGAGGGUGAUCGGCCACACGGGAGCUGGGACGCGGUCCAGACUCCUACGGGAGGCAGCAGUAGGGAAUCUUCCGCAAUGGGCGAAAGCAUGACGGAGCAACGCCGCGUGAGUGAUGAAGGUCUUCGGAGCGUAAAACUCUGUUAUUAGGGAAGAACAUAUGUGUAAGUAACUGUGCACAUCUUGACGGUACCUAAUCAGAAAGCCACGGCUAACUACGUG
rnacentral:rRNA from 1 species